rnacentral:ncRNA from 1 species
UCGACCCGGUCAGGAGAGAGCCCCGCCAGACGGGGCCGCCGAAGGCGCAGGCCGCGGUUCGCCGCGGUCCGAACGCUCAGGCAAAAGGACUGACGAGGCGUC